GGGAUGGACAGGCUACAAGUCAUUAGAGUUUAGAUACAGUUAGUGAUCGACACAUGGAGAUGGAACGAACCUGUUUUCAACUCUUUCCAGGUGGAUCCGGUCCAGGUGAUGUGACCUAUGCUGACAUCAACCACACUGAUAAGAGACAACACAACAGGAGGAGAGAGAAGGUCGUUCCAGACCCUGUCUACUCAGCAGUGAAGACAGACAGAGAUUCAGGUCAGAAGGUUGUUCCAGACCCUGUCUACUCAGCAGUGAAGACAGACAGAGAGACAGGUCAGAAGGUCGCUCCAGACCCUGUCUACUCGGCAGUGAAGACAGACAGACAGAGAU